rnacentral:lncRNA from 1 species
GGCCUCCAUGGAGGCUGAGAGCCAAAACGUCAUUCUCAUAUUUGGUCUUUUCUAUAAAUAAAACCAGCUUCUUCUCUCUCUCUAGCAUUGUAGUAUUUUUUUCACAAAUGAACGCUGAAAUAAAGGUGGGGAAAACUUCUAGCACCUCCUCGCCCAUCCUAAGGAUCGGCUGCGCCACCGUAUGGGUGCGAUCCAAUAUUCUCUGCUUGCGUUGGGUGGUUGAUGGAUAGGCACAACUUCUUCAAAAGC